rnacentral:misc_RNA from 1 species
UUUUAUAUUAUGAGUUAAAAUUUUAAAUUAUUAAACUACUGAUUUAAUAACACCUUGACUUUAUCUUAAUUAAUUAGCUAAUAAUUUUUUUAUUUAAUAUUUAAACUCGAUAUCUACUAAUAAUAAUACGAUUUCAAUAUCUUUAAUUUAAAGGUGAUUCGUCGGAGGAUGACAUCUUAAAUGUUAUAAAAUACAUGUAUUGACUGAAUAAACAGAAACCAUAAUCAAGUGAUUAAUUAGUUUGACAGGUUAACAAGUGUGAUGUAUCUG